rnacentral:lncRNA from 1 species
GCACACUGGACAGACGAUUAUAAGGAGAGGUUGCCUGGGGCCUAAACUGAGGGUGGUGUUUUAUAGCCAAACGUAAUUGCCAGGAUAAUUUUUGAACUGGGCCUUCUGAUACAGAACUCACACAAGUAAGGGAGCAAGAUCUGGUUUUGUGGAGGUUAAACUUUGGGAGAGCUUGAUCCCAAGAAAAUCCACACACCUUGUGUUGAACCGGGCUUUGAAAGAUUUUACUUUGCUUUCUUUUGUUUGUGUUGAUUUCUCAUUUUCAGGCAAUGUGUCUCCCCAUGCAAUUCAGCAGUGUUGCCACCAGGGGACAGAAGGAUGCCAUUGUUUGUGCACGGAAGGUGGCCCUUCCAAGGCCUCUGUUGCCCAACCUUUGAAGAUACAUUCUCCUUGCUUGGUCUUUCC